CCAUGAUUCAGCGGCGGACGGGUGAGUAAUGCCUAGGAAUCUGCCUGGUAGUGGGGGACAACGUUUCGAAAGGAACGCUAAUACCGCAUACGUCCUACGGGAGAAAGCAGGGGACCUUCGGGCCUUGCGCUAUCAGAUGAGCCUAGGUCGGAUUAGCUAGUUGGUGAGGUAAUGGCUCACCAAGGCGACGAUCCGUAACUGGUCCCUGAGAGGAUGAUCAGUCACACUGGAACUGAGACACGGUCCAGACUCCUACGGGAGGCAGCAGUGGGGAAUAUUGGACAAUGGGCGAGUUAAGCCUGAUCCAGCCAUGCCGCGUGUGUGAAGAAGGUCUUCGGAUUGUAAAGCACUUUAAGUUGGGAGGAAGGGCCCAUUAACCUAAUACGUUAGUGUUUUGACGUUACCGACAGAAUAAGCACCGGCUAACUUCGUGCCAGCAGCCGCGGUAAUACGAAGGGUGCAAGCGUUAAUCGGAAUUACUGGGCGUAAAGCGCGCGUAGGUGGUUUGUUAAGUUGAAUGUGAAAGCCCCGGGCUCAACCUGGGAACUGCAUCCAAAACUGGCAAGUCCUAGAGUAUGGCAGAGGGUGGUGGAAUUUCCUGUGUAGCGGUGAAAUGCGUAGAUAUAGGAAGGAACACCAGUGGCGAAGGCGACCACCUGGGCUAAUACUAAGACACUGAGGUGCGAAAGCGUGGGGAGUGCAAACAGGAUUAGAUACCCUGGUAGUCCACGCCGUAAACGAUGUCGACUAGCCGUUGGGAUCCUUGAGAUCUUAGUGGCGCACAGCUAACGCAUUAAGUCGACCGCCUGGGGAGUACGGCCGCAAGGUUAAAACUCAAAUGAAUUGACGGGGGCCCGCACAAGCGGUGGAGCAUGUGGUUUAAUUCGAAGCAACGCGAAGAACCUUACCAGGCCUUGACAUGCAGAGAACUUUCCAGAGAUGGAUUGGUGCCUUCGGGAACUCUGACACAGGUGCUGCAUGGCUGUCGUCAGCUCGUGUCGUGAGAUGUUGGGUUAAGUCCCGUAACGAGCGCAACCCUUGUCCUUAGUUACCAGCACGUAAUGGUGGGCACUCUAAGGAGACUGCCGGUGACAAACCGGAGGAAGGUGGGGAUGACGUCAAGUCAUCAUGGCCCUUACGGCCUGGGCUACACACGUGCUACAAUGGUCGGUGGAAAGGGUUUACAAGCCGCGAGGUGGAGCUAAUCCCAUAAAACCGAUCGUAGUCCGGAUCGCAGUCUGCAACUCGACUGCGUGAAGUCGAAUCGCUAGUAAUCGGAAA
rnacentral:rRNA from 1 species